rnacentral:rRNA from 1 species
AACGCGAAGAACCUUACCAGGGCUUGAAAUAUACGGAAAAGCUACAGAGAUGUAGUGUCCUUCGGGGCCGUAUACAGGUGGUGCAUGGUUGUCGUCAGCUUGUGCCGUGAGGUGUUGGGUUAAGUCCCGCAACGAGCGCAACCCCUGUCCUAUGUUGCCAGCGAGUUAUGUCGGGGACUCAUAGGAGACUGCCGGUGUCAAACCGGAGGAAGGUGGGGACGACGUCAAAUCAUCAUGCCCCUUACGUCCUGGGCUGCACACAUGCUACAAUGGCCGGUACAAAGGGCUGCGAUCCCGCGAGGUGGAGCAAAUCCCAAAAAACGCGUCUAGGUUCGGAUUGGAGGCUGAAACUCGCCUCCAUGAAGGUGGAGUUGCUAGUAAUCGCGGAUCAGCAAUGCCGCGGUGAAUACGUUCCCGGGCCUUGUACACACCG